AUGCGAGCGGCCUUGGCUGACCCCCUUCCCGUGUGCAGAGCCGCGGGGACAUCAGACGACCGGUCUUUGCCCUCAACGACCCCAGGUCCUGCUGAGAGGCAGCCCCGGGAGGAUGUGGGUGGGAGCAGGGACCCGGGGGCCACUGCCCAGCUGCACGCGGUGAGGAGUGUGGCCCUGGUGCAGCCCCGGGGCUCGGCCGCCACCCCCGAGCGACUCUGGGGUCCCCGCGCCCCCCAGAAUCAGGGACUCCGUUCUGAGUCGUCUGCUGAAUCACAUGGGAACCGCACGGAAGGGGAGCUGCAGGCUCGUGGACGCUCCGAGGCCCUCAACAGGCCAAGCUCCUGUCACGGCGCCUGCACCUUCCUGUCCAGGCCUUGCGCCUGGGCUCCCGGCACGGCCCCCGGGACGGUUCGCCCUCUGGCCACGGGCCCAGCUGUGCUCCCCGACGGUCCUCCGAACGGGCCCACACAGAGGGGUCUGCAUGCCCCUGUGGAGGCCGACCCCGGCGCCCAGCCUCGCUCCCGGAAGGACACGCACGGCCCUCCUCCCCUCGUGGGCAUCGCGUUCGCACCAGGGAGCUCAGGAAUAGCAUCAACCCUUCAUCGUUAAUCCAGGGAUCCCGCUCGAAGCUUCGUCCUUGGCCGCUGGCCCUCUCCUUACGCCUCAUCGCACGAGUGUCACAGAGGCGCGUGCGGUGGGAACACACACGUGUUUCGUGAAUCCACAAAGGAAGACCUUGCCCGGGGGGCGUCUCCCCUGCCCUGGAGGCCGCCCGCCGCACUGGCUACCGCGUGGCACUCGGCGAAGUCCCGGUCCUGCCCGCGGUCAGCAGCAUCCUUCCCCGCGUGGGGCGGAGCCUCCACCCCCCCCCCCAAAGGCCUGUGUUUCCGCUUCGCGGGUCGUGUCUGGCAGCACGCAGGUGUCAGAAAAUCUCGUUUAAGCGCAGAGGGAGGGCGAAUUUCGUCUCCGUGACGGCGCGGGGUUCAGGCCGUGACUGUUCCCCCUAAAACAUGCCUCACGGGGUGAUGGACUGCCCUGCCUCGGGUUCAAAACACGAAGCGAAUUUCCCUUUGCUAAUUUAGUCACACGCGACGAUAAAUCCCAGAAAUACGUCUUCUGUAUAUUUUGCAUUACCUUUUGCAGACAAAUACAGAAACAUGGUCAACAUUUGCAAUAAAAUUAUCAUAGAAAUGCC
rnacentral:lncRNA from 1 species